rnacentral:rRNA from 1 species
GAACGCUGGCGGCGUGCCUAAUACAUGCAAGUAGAACGCUGAAGAGAGGAGCUUGCUCUUCUUGGAUGAGUUGCAAACGGGUGAGUAACGCGUAGGUAACCUGCCUGGUAGCGGGGGAUAACUAUUGGAAACGAUAGCUAAUACCGCAUGAUAUUAAUUGUCGCAUGAUAAUUAAUUGAAAGAUGCAAUUGCAUCACUACCAGAUGGACCUGCGUUGUAUUAGCUAGUUGGUGAGGUAACGGCUCACCAAGGCGACGAUACAUAGCCGACCUGAGAGGGUGAUCGGCCACACUGGGACUGAGACACGGCCCAGACUCCUACGGGAGGCAGCAGUAGGGAAUCUUCGGCAAUGGGGGGAACCCUGACCGAGCAACGCCGCGUGAGUGAAGAAGGUUUUCGGAUCGUAGAGCUCUGUUGUAAGAGAAGAACGGGUGUGAGAGUGGAAAGUUCACACUGUGACGGUAUCUUACCAGAAAGGGACGGCUAACUACGUGCCAGCAGCCGCGGUAAUACGUAGGUCCCGAGCGUUGUCCGGAUUUAUUGGGCGUAAAGCGAGCGCAGGCGGUUAGAUAAGUCUGAAGUUAAAGGCUGUGGCUUAACCAUAGUAUGCUUUGGAAACUGUUUAACUUGAGUGCAGAAGGGGAGAGUGGAAUUCCAUGUGUAGCGGUGAAAUGCGUAGAUAUAUGGAGGAACACCGGUGGCGAAAGCGGCUCUCUGGUCUGUAACUGACGCUGAGGCUCGAAAGCGUGGGGAGCAAACAGGAUUAGAUAGCCUGGUAGUCCACGCCGUAAACGAUGAGUGCUAGGUGUUAGGCCCUUUCCGGGGCUUAGUGCCGCAGCUAACGCAUUAAGCACUCCGCCUGGGAGUACGA